CCCAGUAUCAAAUGACGAUGCAAGUAAAUUCAUACAAGAAAUGCAACAUUUGCUCAUUGUUGAAGGCCGUACGGUGACUUAUAUUUGUUAAUAUCUGUGUCAUGGAGAGUUGUGUCAUUUGCAAUCAUACCACAUAUUUUUUUUACUUUCCCGUAUAAUUGAAAAAAAAUGACGCCGAAAUGAGAAAGUGAUUAUCAUACAGGUUUUUUGUUUAAAAUAUUCAACAUAAUUUGAAAGAUGCUUUUUUAUCCAGCUUGAAAUAUGUGAUAAAUAGAUUAAUACAUGUUAUUUUCCAUAUUGGCCGUGGUAUCAGCCCACGACCCAUAUUAAACCCUGGGGGCUUGAUAUGGGAUACAUUAAUUGCGACGUCACAAUUGUGCAGAGACGUUAUCAAGCUUAAUUUCAUCAAGCGUUAAACUGUCUAAGGGAGGAGGAAGAGGCCAUAAAUAGAACGAUGAGCAGAUAAUCGGGAUUUCCUCGAAUUGAUAUUGUAAAAUAUCAGCCGCUCGACACAAUGUGAAGCUUUUUAGCUCGUUCGCUGCACUCACUGGCCAAAAGGUUCACACUGUGGCGUGUGGCUGAUAUUUCACAAUAUCCAAA
rnacentral:lncRNA from 1 species